GUGAGUGCCUAGCCUAUUGGAUAUCACUGUCAUCUACACAGGACAGUCAUUACCUUUCUAUUAAUACUUUGUUUUUUAAUUUCACAUUAAUUUCCAUAUUGUAUAAAUGACUGGAAAAAACUUGAGCCCCUGCCCCUGUAUAAUCAUGUGCACAUCCCUGUUCUAGCUCCAAGGUGAAUCUUCACUGCUCAUGUUCUCCUCAGAAGCAGUCACCUCACUCCCCUCAGGUUACUGUACACAUGCACCAACUGCCUGCUUCAGGUUUGGAUGGAGCUUCAUGGUUGUCUUUUGGAGAAAUGAGCAGUCAAGUUGUGUUUGAAAUUUGAUUUUUUUCAGGGGCAAAAGGAGCCUCUGCAUUCUUGUCAAAUAUGUAAAUAGCAUGUUUUUGCAGGUGCUAAAAAACAGACUCUGAGUGUGUCUGUGUGUGUGUCUGUGUGUGUGUAUAUAUCUUGCAGUACUCUGAGAAGAAUAAUAAGCAUAUUUCUGCGGUGAAUUUUGAAGAUUCAUCUGAGAGUUAGGAGGGCUGAUCAUUCCCUUACCCUUUAGAUGUCUGUCUAUGUCUGUUUUUGUGUGAUAAUGAAAGAAUCCCAACUCAAAAAGGCUCUGUUGAUGUUUUUUUUUGUUGUUCAUUCAUAUUCAAACCACUAUUUUAUAUCACUGCUAAUACGCCAAGACCAUUUUAUGGUAUUUAGCUUUAUUAUUUCUAUACAUUUUGCAAGGAAAGAAACCAAGGCCUUCACUAAAAUUUCCAUAAACUUUAGGAAAGGACCUCUGGUUGUUUAAGGGGGUCAUUACUGCAAAAAAAUAUUCUUCCUAAAUUUUGAAGGUCAAACCUUAGAUCCAUUAGGUUUAAAUAGAAAAAGCAUUAAAAUAUGUUAGGAUUAUAGCAUAUGACAAAUGUGUGCCUCUCAGUGGCAUAACUACUUUGUCUGCUGGCUCUGCAGUCGAUUGACGCUCCCCAGCGUUCAAGUCACAUGACAUAUUUAACCGGAUGUAGCUGCAAGACGGAGCCUCGUUCACCCUCCGUUUCAACUUAUCUCAAAAGUGAGAACCUCAAACUAUAUACCAGUUUUUAAAUUGUGUUGAUAGGCCAAAUAAAACCAGAGUUAUGAUAAAUUAUGUCCGCGAUACUUUUUUUCUGCUUAUUUUGAUCACGUUCGGCGCUCGAUCACGCUGUAUGAGACAGGAAAACAUAGCAUGCAGACAUUAGCGACAGCUCUUACAGGCGGAAAAGGCAUGCCAAAAGAAAAAAAAAACACACCACAACAUCUCUCCUAUUGGUGGAAAACUUCACCACAACAACCAAUCCAAAAUUAUAUGGUGACUGAUUGACAAGGGGCGGGCGCUUACGUUCUUCCUGCAAUAUGAGAAGGGAGGGAGGAACUCUCAGCAGGGAUGCAGUCUGGGAAACGUAGUUGCAAACCUAGCGACUUUGUUGUUAGAUUCAAUGACUUUUCAGACCCCCUAACGACUUUUUUUUAGAAAGAAAGGGAAUUUUAUCGACUUCCUCUGGAGUUUAGAGACUCUGACAUGAAGCAGGCUUUCCUUACUGAGGAGUUAGCAACGCUGCUAAGGGUGCAGAGCCACACAUGCGCUCCGAGCUCUGCAUGGGAGACUAGAGCUGAGAGAGCUGCAGCAGUUAGCAGGUUUCACCCUCAGAGACCACCAGGAGUUCAUGUUGAGGCAUUUUCAGUUUGUUUGUUUUUUUGCCAUAGACACUGUCAGCACAAUCUGCAGUUACACUAACAAAAAUGCUGCAAAAAACAAAGAAUUAUGGAAAAAUUACACAUGGACUGACAUAGAGGAGGAUCUACACAAGUUUUUUACAUCAUGUUUUACAUCAUGCAUCAUUUACAUCAUGUUUUUUUGUAGUGGCAUAAAUAAAAAGUGACAUUUGUGAGACUAUACAGUGUUUUGUAAAUAAUUUUACAAAGAACGCCUGGGCCAUUGCCUGCAUUUUGAUGUAAAUAGAGGUAAAUUACUAUGUUCUUUGUUAAAAAUUUGCAUAUGUUUUUAAGUUUACAAUUUUUAUUUGAAGUUUAAGUUUUAAAAACAGUUCAUCACACAUAUUUGUGGUUUAAUUUCACAUUAAUUUCCAUAUUGUAUAAAUGACUGGAAAAAACUUGAGCCCCUGCCCCUGUAUAAUCAUGUGCACGUCCCUGUUCUAGCUCCAAGGUGAAUCUUCACUGCUCAUGUUCUCCUCAGAAG